CAAUAGCGUAUAUUAAAGUUGUUGCAGUUAAAAAGCUCGUAGUUGGAUUUGUGGCUGUCACGGGCGGCCUAUCACUUAGUGUUAGUGCUUGCCUGUGUCGCCAUCCUUGGGUGGAGCCCGUGUGGCAUUAGGUUGUCGUGCGGGGGAUGCCCAUCGUUUACUGUGAGAAAAUUAGAGUGUUCAAAGCAGGCUUAUGCCGUUGAAUAUGUUAGCAUGGAAUAAUAAGAUAGGACCUCGGUACUAUUUUGUUGGUUUGCGCACCGAGGUAAUGAUUAAUAGGGACAGUUGGGGGUAUUCGUAUUUCAUUGUCAGAGGUGAAAUUCUUGGAUUUCUGAAAGACGAACUGCUGCGAAAGCAUUUACCAAGGAUGUUUUCAUUAA
rnacentral:rRNA from 1 species